rnacentral:lncRNA from 1 species
CCACUUGGCUUUGUCAAUUAAAUUCCCUAGGUCGUGCAUGUCUAGCAUUAGGUAUGCCGUUGCUAGGUGUCCUCCCUAGUUUCCCUCUGCAUUAUUACAGUCUAUGACCCUUUUCCUCAUUUUCCCUUCUAGCUCCAUUAGGCCCUGCUCAAAAUAUUCCAACCUUUCUGCCGACCUUGUUGCCAUUUCCUUCCAAUCGUUAGUUGACUCCAUGUCUAACUUAUGUUGUUCCAAAUUCCUGGCAUUGGACCUAAGGACUCUUUUGAACAACCUCUCAUACUUCACUUGCUCUUUAGCAACUUCUCUAUGACUCUGUUUCCUUGACCAAUCCCUGACUCAAUUGCUCCUGCUAUGUUAUAUUUUAUCCAUGAUGGAUAGAAGUACACAUGACCUAUGUGAUAUUGAUCUAGCUUUAUGGUAUCCUUUUCAACGAAAAUCUUCAAAUGCCACAUGUGUUGGGCAUUACAUAUGUAUAGAAUAGCGUCGUCCAAACAUUUUACCAUGUAAUGACUCAUUUUGGAAACUCGUGGUAUGUGUUGUUUUCUACCAACUUGUUUCAUGACCCUUAAAGGAAAAUAUAGAUGUGUUCCCCUUAGACCAAUAAACUCCAAAUACGGAACAUCCCUAGUCUGAUAAUGAAUUCAUUAGUAGGGAACCGCUCGAACAUCCAGUGAACCUGGUCCUCGGUCAAAUUUUUAAAGACUUUACCCAUUUUAUGCAUUCUUUGGCUGCACAAAUUUUCCUGGGAUAAAGGUCAUUCUUUUAAGAUGUUGGAAAGCAAUGUGAUCGUUCCAUGGUCUCCGUGGAAACUCCUGAUAGUAUUGACCCAUAUGAAG